rnacentral:rRNA from 1 species
AGUCACUGACAUUGAUACCCGCGUAGUCCCAGCCGUAAACAAUGUGCGUUAGGUGUGUCGGUAACCACGUGUUACUGAUGCGCCGAAGAGAAAUCGUGAAACGCACCACCUGGGAGGUACGGUCGCAAGGCUGAAACUUAAAGGAAUUGGCGGGGAGCACCACAACAGGUGGAGCCUGCGGUUUAAUUGGAUUCAACGCCGGACAUCUCACCGGAUAAGACAGCUGAAUGAUUGUCAAUCUGAAGGUUUUACAUGACUAGCUG